GCUCCACGCCACGCGCGCGUUUAGCUUCUAGCUUGGAGCCGGUUGGUUUAUCACGUCUACCGCCUGGCCGNUCGUUUGUCCCAGCCUCUGCCGUCGCGCGCCGCCGGCGCGCCCUGCGUGCGGCGGCCGGGUGCGUCCGUGGGCCCCCUGGGGCUCCCGGGCACACACCGGGGCUACAUAACCGCACAUANCAUCUACAUUUCCACUAUCCAUAGGUAGCACACAUACUAGCACCAGCACGGUUUCGGCUAGUCGCUACUACAGCNUAGGGCCCGCGGCGCCAUUNGCUANGUUGGUAGCGGUAACCGGGCUCACCAAAGGGCCACACUGCAUAGCCGUAAAGCUCGCAUCCUAGGCAGCAGGGGUAGCAUCUGGCUCCNACAACUUAGAGGGGCACUAGCAGGCACCACGGCUCCCAUGGCAUCUACCCUUAACGGGGCCAGGCNGCCGGUCCAGGGGGCCCUUACUUUUACCCCACAACAUUAGGGGGGCCGGCACACNGGCCCUUAGCNUUAGGGCNUGUCCCCANNCCGCCCGNCCGGUUAGGCAGUUAGGCACAGCNCGGGGUUUAUUNUCGCGGCAUNCGGUGAUCCGCUACUUUCCUUAGGUAUAGUGUANANCCGGCGGGGCACCUGCNCNCCGCCAUGUUAACCGCAGGUCGGUUAACACCUUAGGGGGCCUUAGGUUGACCCCUAUAGGCAACUCCCAGGUAAACGCCCCUUGANAAAGUUAAUAGAAGCAAACAAGGACCGCCAACCGGAGGGCGCUUAANAUGCUGAAACCGGUUAGGCCCCGCAGGGCGAGACCCAGACGGGGUCAACAAUNAAACCGGUAAAGGCGGGUAGGAGNCCACAGNCCGGGUUAAAGGUCGCCGGGGGGCAACAUUACAAUAANGGGNGGGCCGUGUAAACACAAGGCGGGGCCANGCCGCCCAAGAGGCGGGGGACCCNUAUAAGAG
rnacentral:rRNA from 1 species